rnacentral:rRNA from 1 species
CAAUAGCGUAUAUUUAAGUUGUUGCAGUUAAAAAGCUCGUAGUUGGAUUUCGGGUGGGAAUGGCCGGUCCGCCGUUUCGGUGUGCACUUGCUACGCCCACCUUGCUGCCGGGGACGUGCUCUUGAGUUCACGCUCGGGACACGGAGUCGGCGAGGUUACUUUGAGUAAAUUAGAGUGUUCAAAGCAGGCCUACGCUCUGAAUACAUUAGCAUGGAAUAACACGAUAGGACUCUGGCCUAUCUUGUUGGUCUGUAGGACCGGAGUAAUGAUUAAGAGGGACAGUCGGGGGCAUUCGUAUCUCAUUGUCAGAGGUGAAAUUCUUGGAUUUAUGAAAGACGAACUACUGCGAAAGCAUUUGCCAAGGAUGUUUUCAUUAA